rnacentral:rRNA from 1 species
CCAAUAGCGUAUAUUAAAGUUGUUGCAGUUAAAAAGCUCGUAGUUGAAUUUCGGGAUUGACGUAAUGGUCAUGCCUUAAGGGGUAUGAACUGUUACUGUUGAUUUCUCACCUUCUGGAGAAACUUGAUGUCCUUUAUUGGGUGUCUUGCGGAUCCAGGACCUUUACCUUGAAAAAAUUAGAGUGUUUAAAGCAGGCAUUUUUGCUCGAAUACAUUAGCAUGGAAUAAUAGAAUAGGACGGCAUGGUUCUAUUUUGUUGGUUUCUAGGAUCACCGUAAUGAGUAAUAGGGAUAGUUGGGGGCAUUAGUAUUCAAUUGUCAGAGGUGAAAUUCUUGGAUUUAUUGAAGACUAACUACUGCGAAAGCAUUUGCCAAGGAUGUUUUCAUUAAUCAAGAACGAAAGUUAGGGGAUCGAAGACGAUCAGAUACCGUCGUAGUCUUAACCAUAAACUAUGCCGACUAGGAAUCAGACGAUGUUAAUUUUUUAAUGACUCGUUUGGCACCUUACG